rnacentral:rRNA from 1 species
UACGUAGGGUGCGAGCGUUAAUCGGAAUUACUGGGCGUAAAGCGUGCGCAGGCGGUUUUUUAAGACAGGUGUGAAAUCCCCGGGCUUAACCUGGGAACUGCAUUUGUGACUGCAAGGCUAGAGUGUGGCAGAGGGGGGUGGAAUUCCACGUGUAGCGGUGAAAUGCGUAGAUAUGUGGAGGAAUACCGAUGGGGAAGGCAGCCCCCUGGGCUAACACUGACGCUGAUGCGCGAAAGCGUGGGGAGCAAACAGG